rnacentral:lncRNA from 1 species
UCAACAGCUGCAAAGGCAAAGGGAUUGGCCUCCUGGGCAGAAAGGGGCCAAAAGGGAGGGCCCUUUGGAGGAGCGUGGCUCUGGUGAGGGGUGGAGGUGAGACCCACACUUAUGCUCUGAUGCCUUGCAACUGAUUUCCUCCAGAUACAAACAGGGCAGCUGAAUGGGGAGAUGGCCUCCCCCAUCAGAGGCAGUUCCCAGCCAGCUUCCUUGGAUGGCCACACAGGAAUCACUCCACACACCAUCCCUGAGAAGCAGAACCACAGGGAAACCUCUUGUCCCUCUGGAAACUCAGUUACAAUCAGUUCAGCACUUGAAGGAAGGAUCUCGAAACAUUACAGCCCGAAGAACAAGAGGGUGAAACUGUGGAGGCCUCAGCAUCUUCUACCCAGAGUGUGCCCAAGCUAUACCCUGGGGCAGCCACCAGCAUCAAGAGCUUCAGGCCAGUAGGGAGCUAGGGGACCUCUUGGUCCCAUUUCCUUGAUAACAUCAGAAAUCUGAAGAACAACUCUCCAGCAAGGCACGGGCUUCAACUGAAGCCCUCUUCCCAAGUCAUACUAAAACAAGAACUGACCCCAGCUGCGGGUGCUUCUCUCUGCCCGCACAUCCCUCUUCCAGCCUGCUCCAUAUGCAGCCCCACACAGUGGGGGUUCCUGUUGGGAUUGUGUGUCUGGGGCAAGUGACCUUACCACCCCAAGCCUCCAUUUCCUCAGAAGUCAAACAGGGAUGGGGAUGCUGACUUUCCGGGCAUGUUUUGCUGUUUCCAAAUGGAAAUAGUUAAACACCUCGGCUGGAUCGCGAGCAGUCCCUAUCUGUCACCUUCCCUGCCGGCUAAGCGCUGCCGCCGCUGCCACCGCCGCUGCCGCCUCUGCCAAAGAAUCGAACCUCGUCUACUUUAUUCCACUUGAGCGUGGCCAAACUGUUGCUAUUUAGUGGGGAGCAAAAAAAAACAAUUUGCACCAUCGAAACGAGCCAGCAACUGGUUGGGAGGCGGGCGGUAGCUGGGCCCCGCGUGCCCUCGGCGGCCGGGGUCCUCUCCGGGGAGAGGCACACACACGCAUAGCCGGAUCGCGCCUCGCCAGGGCCGGAGUCACCUGGAAUGCGCAGCCGGAGAGCAUCUCCCGAGCCAGAGCGAGCCUGACGCGCGCCCAGCGGGCGGCGGGCAGCGGCGAGCUGG